UGCCCCCUCGUCUAAUGGCAAGACACCUGACUCUGGAUCAGGCGAUUGGGGUUCGAAUCCCUGGGGGGCAGCCA
rnacentral:tRNA from 1 species